rnacentral:tRNA from 1 species
GGAGGAGUGCCAGAGCGGUCGAAUGGGGCGGUCUCGAAAACCGUUAGGCCCGCAAGGGUCUCGGGGGUUCGAAUCCCUCCUCCUCCG